rnacentral:rRNA from 1 species
UAAGGAAUAUUGGACAAUGGAGGCAAUUCUGAUCCAGCCAUGCCGCGUGAAGGAAUAAGGCCCUAUGGGUUGUAAACUUCUUUUAGACGGGACAAAACCCCUUUACGUGUAAAGGGUUGAUGGUACUGUCAGAAUAAGCAUCGGCUAACUUCGUGCCAGCAGCCGCGGUAAUACGAAGGAUGCAAGCGUUAUCCGGAAUUAUUGGGUUUAAAGGGUGCGUAGGCGGACUAAUAAGUCAGUGGUGAAAGCCUGCAGCUUAACUGCAGAAUUGCCAUUGAUACUGUUAGUCUUGAGUACAGUUGAGGUAGGCGGAAUGUGUCAUGUAGCGGUGAAAUGCUUAGAUAUGACACAGAACACCGAUUGCGAAGGCAGCUUGCUAAGCUGUAACUGACGCUGAGGCACGAAAGCGUGGGGAGCAAACA